ACGCCCUUGACAACACAUUCUUAGAAGUCAUGCUCGUUAGGGGCAAGUUCUGUUUCUUCCACCAACGUCUUCAAGCCUCAGAAUCCUUUUCUAUCAAACGGGGCUAAUAAUAGAAUACACCAUACCUCAGAAUUAAGUGAGGCUGUGCAAAAGGUGCUUAAUUCUGUGCCUGAAAUGUAGCAACAGACAAUAAAUCCAUCUAACAACAAAUUCUUAUGAAGAAGGUAUUACAAUAAAUUCUUAUGAAGAAGUUAUUACAAUAAAUUCAGUGACAAGCAAUGAUGGCAAUGGAAAUAAAAAUGGAGAAGCAGAUGUAAUUAAGAGAUUUGAGAAGUAAAAUUGGCAGUUCCUGGUGACUAAAGCAUGUGUUAAUGAUAGUGAUAGUGAUAUCCUUGGACCAUUAGUUGUUCAGCUUUGAAUACCCUCCCCAAUUUCUCUGCUUAUUCUUUUUUUUUUUUUUUUUAGUAUUUAUUGAUCAUUCUUGGGUGUUUCUCGGAGAGGGGGAUGUGGCAGGGUCAUAGGAUAAUAGUGGAGAGAAGAUCAGCAGAUAAACACGUGAACAAAGGUCUCUGGUUUUCCUAGGCAGAGGUCCCUGCGGCCUUCCGCAGUGUUUGUGUCCCUGGGUACUUGAGAUUAGGGAGUGGUGAUGACUUAACGAGCAUGCUGCCUUCAAGCAUCUGUUUAACAAAGCACAUCUUGCAGCGCCCUUAAUCCACUUAACCCUGAGUUGACACAGCACAUGUUGCAGAG
rnacentral:lncRNA from 1 species